rfam:Bradyrhizobium erythrophlei strain GAS478 genome assembly, contig: Ga0132009_11
GGGAGCCGUGUGCGGGAAUUCUGCACGCACGGAUCUGGGCGGGGGGCGGUCAGCAAUGACCGUCCCUACCGCAC